UACGAAGGGUGCAAGCGUUACUCGGAAUUACUGGGCGUAAAGCGUGCGUAGGCGGUUUGUUAAGUCUGUCGUGAAAGCCCCGGGCUCAACCUGGGAAUGGCGAUGGAUACUGGCGAGCUAGAGUACGGUAGAGGAGAGUGGAAUUCCCGGUGUAGCAGUGAAAUGCGUAGAGAUCGGGAGGAACAUCAGUUGCGAAGGCGGCUCUCUGGGACCAGUACUGACGCUGGAGCACGAAAGCGUGGGGAGCAAACAGG
rnacentral:rRNA from 1 species